rnacentral:rRNA from 1 species
GUGGGGAAUAUUGCGCAAUGGGGGAAACCCUGACGCAGCAACGCCGCGUGAGUGAUGAAGGCUUUCGAGUCGUAAAACUCUGUCUUUGGGGACGAAUAAUGACGGUACCCAAGGAGGAAGCCCCGGCUAACUACGUGCCAGCAGCCGCGGUAAUACGUAGGGGGCAAGCGUUGUCCGGAAUCACUGGGCGUAAAGGGCGCGUAGGCGGUUUGUUAAGUCAGGUGUGAAAGUUUUCAGCUUAACUGGAAAAGUGCACUUUAAACUAACUUACUUGAGUACUGGCGAGGUAAGCGGAAUUCCUAGUGUAGCGGUGAAAUGCGUAGAUAUUAGGAAGAACACCAGUGGCGAAGGCGACUUUCUGGACGAAAACUGACGCUGAGGCGCGAAAGCCAGGGGAGCGAACGGGAUUAGAAACCCUAGUAGUCC